GGCUGGUCCGAUGGCAGUGGGUUAUCAGAACUUAUUAACAUUAGUGUCACUAAAGUUGAUAUACCACCCCCCCCACUGCUAAAUUUGACUGGCUUUAA
ensembl:misc_RNA Y_RNA Y RNA